rnacentral:lncRNA from 1 species
AGUAUCGCGAGAUCAGGAAGGUGGCCGAGUGUGUCGCCGCGGCCAUCAGGCACUUCUCCUUCCUGCCCUUGUAUGAAGAAGGAUGUGUUUGCUUCCCCUUGUGCCAUGAUUGUAAAUUUCCUGAGGCCUCCUCAGCCCUGCAGAACUGGGGUUAUAGCCAUGUGACUGAUCUUCGUCCAAGAAUAUGUAAAGAAAAAGUGUUGAGUUGGCUUUUAGGGCUAGAGCAAUGUAUCUUAGGCUCACUUAAGGAAGCUGUAGAGAUGAGCCCAAGGAGGGAAACCAGAAGAGCCCCCCAGGCUCACCAGUUGUUUGUUGGCUCCCUACAAACAUGUCAUUCAAGUGGCUAAUCUUACAACAGCACAAAUUCAUCUAACCAGUCACAUAUACUGAAGGGA